AACGAACGCUGGCGGCAUGCCUAACACAUGCAGGUCGAACGAAGGCUUCGGCCUUAGUGGCGCACGGGUGCGUAACGCGUGGGAAUCUGCCCUUUGGUUCGGAAUAACAGCUGGAAACGGCUGCUAAUACCGGAUGAUGACGAAAGUCCAAAGAUUUAUCGCCAGAGGAUGAGCCCGCGUUGGAUUAGGUAGUUGGUGGGGUAAAGGCCUACCAAGCCGACGAUCCAUAGCUGGUCUGAGAGGAUGAUCAGCCACACUGGGACUGAGACACGGCCCAGACUCCUACGGGAGGCAGCAGUGGGGAAUAUUAGACAAUGGGCGCAAGCCUGAUCCAGCAAUGCCGCGUGAGUGAUGAAGGCCCUAGGGUUGUAAAGCUCUUUUACCCGGGAAGAUAAUGACUGUACCGGGAGAAUAAGCCCCGGCUAACUCCGUG
rnacentral:rRNA from 1 species